rfam:Schistosoma rodhaini strain Burundi genome assembly, scaffold: SROB_scaffold0001545
GCACUGCUGAGGAGUCCCACAAUAGAACAAAACGGAUGUCCAGUGC